rnacentral:lncRNA from 1 species
AGCUGACACAGAUGGUGGGAGGUGCUCGUGCCUCUCACGGUGAUCAGAAACAUCACCGUUGCAGGUGACGCCACUUCACUUAACACUGGGUGUGGGCGGAUUCAUCCGCUCUGAAAAUUACGUCUUUGGUGGACAUCAGCGUGGACUUGGGUUGUCUUUUCACUUUCUUGCUAAUGUCCUUGGAUGAUCCACAACUUUUCCAAAGCAGGCCAAGCUAUAAAUAAAGGGUGGACUGACCUUGUCAACUGUUAAAUUGGAGCCGUGGUGCGUUGCCUAGAACAUUGCGGAUGACCCCGAGCAGCACAGCAGAUCAACGGCUGAGAAAGAGCUCAUUCAGCUCAUCUAACUAGGAUGCUGUCCUGCCAGAGCCCUGGGGGUUCUCGUCUCCUGGGGCAAAAGCAGCAUGCAACCCUUAUGAACCCAUCUUGGAAGGCAUUCGGGGAGCCCAAGACAAGACCAUUGGGAGCCUCAGGGUCACUUGUGGGGGUCUCUGUGCUGGACGGCUGUACCUCUCAUGAAAUGGACAACUGACCAUAAGAAGGAGGUUAGCCUUUGUGGCUUGGGCAUCCAGCCUUUCAGAGAUAUGAAACCACACACGUCUUCAGAGUGAACAGCUGCUCACCCCGAUGUGCUCAAGGGGUGCAGGAUGUGGACACAUCCUACUGAAUGAGCCAGACAACGUAACUGGAUCUGUCCAGAACACCACGAUGGGUGACAUUGCCAUCUGCAGCAGUGCUGUACUUCCUCCCGCCAAUUUGUAAAGUGCAGACAGGAUGCUGGAUCAACUGGCUGCUGCUGAGGCCAGUGACCUCUAGGGCGUAUUCCCACGUUCCUUUGCAGUAGCUGCUCACCUUUGUAAGCAUGUGAGUUAUUCGUGCUGUCUGUUGUGAUCCUAAGGAAUCCAAUGGUCAGGACCAGAACUUCUGAAGUACAGCCCAGCAUUGCCGUCUGGCAUCCCCAGAAAGCAGAUUUUGAGAUUGGCAUGAUGGCCGUUAAGCAGGGCGUUCUCUCUGGAGCAAUGUCUAGCCGGGGUCGGAGUGGGGAGAGAGAGAGGGGGGCUGCUGAGAAUAUCACAGAGAGAUGGCAGCCUUUCUGCAGCAUAGGCCUAAGUGCACACUCACCUGGCUAUCACUGAGAGGACUCUCUGUUCAACAGGGCCACUCAGGGCUUCCCCUGCAUGGAGAUCUGAGUGUCCAGGGAGGGGACGUGGUGAGCAUUUCUCUGGUCAAAGUGUGCAAAGCAAAAUCUGCCCCAUUCCUGCCAAAGUGGUUGACAUGGAGGAAAGGGGAGUGCCAGUUCUGUAGGCUGAGGUGGUGGCUGUUAGAACUGCUCCUAGGCUAGUUGGUGUUCUGGAAGGUUCCCCUCUAUGUGAGAUGAAAGAGCAUAUCUUUAAGAGCUGCAACUUUGAAGCUCUAAUAUAGAAUGCUUUUGGUGGCAAGCAUUACUUCGGAAAGGGCUUGAAGACCCCUGAAGAUCCUUGGUGGCCUAGGCAGUUCCUUUAUUGCCAGGGCUGUGCAGGACUAAGCUUCAACAGCGCCACCAUGUGACAAGAAGCAAUUGCAGUGGUGCAUUGAGGGUUUUCUUUUGCACUGAGAACUCAAGUCCCACUUUCACCCUUGGACCUGGUAAAUCUUUGGGGUUCAUGGACAAUUCUGAGGAGGAGAUACUUAAGAGAGUGAUGUUAGAAUUUGAUGUUUUGGUUUAUUGUAUCAGAAAAUAAAAGAAAUUGGAUUUAUAGCUCAGUUUGUGGUUCAUAUCAAUUUAAAUAGCUUUGAAAUGCUGAUAGGACCAUCACGGUUUUUUGGUUGCUGAAAUCCCAUAACUAAAGCAAUGCCUCAAUAAGCUUUUAAUCCACAGCCCCCAUGCCCAGGUCUAUAACAAAGUUUUUAUAUGCCUAUGGGGAAAAACAAUUAUGAGGCAAACAUUUAUAAAGUUAAAUUUAUUACGUUUCUACUCCUAUUUUUUAUUCUGCUGGUGUAUUGUUAUAUAUUUUCCUACAUAUUUAAACAUUUUCUUCCUCUUAUAAAAUGUUAGUGAUUUUAAAUGAUGGUGUGUCCGGAAUUGGUUCCUUCUGGUGGGUUCAGUCUUGCUGACUUCAAGAAUGAAGCCACAGAUGCUCACAGUGAGUGUUACAGCUCUUAAAGAUGGUGUGUCCAAAGUUUGUUCCCUCAGAUGUUCAGAUGUCUCCAGAGUUUCUUCCUUCUGGUGGGUUCGUGGUCUUGCUGACUUCAGGAGUGAAGCCGCAGACCUUUGCAGUGAGUGUUACAGCUCUUAAAGGUGGUGCGUCCAGAGUUGUUUCUUCCUCCCAGUGGGAUUAUGGUCUCGUGCAGACCUUGCAUUGAGUGUUACAGCUCUUAAAGGGGGCACGGACCUGACCAUCCUGGCUAAAAUACAGUGAAACCCCAUCUCCACUAAAAUUACAAAUAUUAGCCCGGAGUGGUGGCAGGUGCCCAUAGUCCCAGCUACUCCGGAGGCUGAGACAGGAGAAUAGUGUGAACCCGGGACGCGGAGCUUGUAGUGAACAGAGAUUGCGUCACUGCACUCCAGCCUGGGCGACAGAGCGAGACUCCAUCUCAAAAAACAAG